rnacentral:pre_miRNA from 1 species
UUUCUACUCUUUCCGUUCCACAAUACAUGUCUUCUAUUUGUGAAAAUAUAGAUGUAUCUAGAUAUGUUUUAGUAUAUAAGUACAUCACUUUUGAAUAAAUAGAAGUUAAGUAUUUUGGAACGGAGGGAGCAUGUG